rnacentral:rRNA from 1 species
UACGUAGGUGGCAAGCGUUGUCCGGAUUUACUGGGUGUAAAGGGUGCGUAGGCGGAUUGGCAAGUCAGAUGUGAAAUACCGGGGCUUAACCCCGGGGCUGCAUUUGAAACUGCCAACCUUGAGUGAUGGAGAGGUAAGUGGAAUUCCCAGUGUAGCGGUGAAAUGCGUAGAUAUUGGGAGGAACACCAGUGGCGAAGGCGGCUUACUGGACAUUAACUGACGCUGAGGCACGAAAGCGUGGGUAGCAAACAGG